AACGCACCUUGCGCCCCUUGGCAUUCCGAGGGGCACACCCGUUUGAGUGUCGUGAAAUCCUCAAAACCCAUUUCGUCAUAGAAAUGGGUUUUGGACCUGGAGGAUCAAUGCUUGCUUUCAAAGUGAGCUCCUCUUAAAUGUAUCAGUGGGGUUUGCUUUGUUGAUCCUUGACGUGAUAAGAUGUUUACUACGUUUUGAAUCCGGCAGGGUCCCUGCUUCUAACUGUCUCAUGGACAAUGAUGGUGCUCUGGUUGCUAUCACCUUUGGUAGUAGUGGCUGGACCCACAAAUCAAAAUCUUGACCUCAAAUCGGGUGAGACUACCCGCUGAACUUAA
rnacentral:misc_RNA from 1 species